AGUGAACGCUGGCGGCGUGCUUAACACAUGCAAGUCGAACGAGAACGGAAUAUAGCUUGCUAUAUUUGUCAGCUAAGUGGCGCACGGGUGAGUAAUGUAUAGAUAACCUGCCCUUAAGAAAGGAAUAACAGUUGGAAACGACUGCUAAUGCCCUAUAUGCCUUUAAUACAUAAGUAUGCAAGGGAAACGCUUUAGUGCUUAAGGAUGGGUCUGUAUGGUAUCAGCUUGUUGGUGAGGUAAUGGCUCACCAAGGCUAUGACGCCUAACUGGUUUGAGAGGAUUAGCAGUCACACUGGAACUGAGACACGGUCCAGACUCGUACGGGAGGCAGCAGUGUGGAAUAUUGCACAAUGGACGAAAGUCUGAUGCAGCAACGCCGCGUGGAGGAUGACACAUUUCGGUGCGUAAACUCCUUUUAUAUAGGAAGAUAAUGACGGUACUAUAUGAAUAAGCACCGGCUAACUCCGUGCCAGCCGCCGCGGUAA
rnacentral:rRNA from 1 species